rnacentral:rRNA from 1 species
GAAAGCUAGCCUUCGGGUUCGCAUUGUAAUUUGUAGAGGAUGAUUUGGGGAAGCCGCCUGUCUAAGUUCCUUGGAACAGGACGUCAUAGAGGGUGAGAAUCCCGUAUGUGACAGGAAAUGGCACCCUAUGUAAAUCUCCUUCGACGAGUCGAGUUGUUUGGGAAUGCAGCUCUAAAUGGGAGGUAAAUUUCUUCUAAAGCUAAAUAUUGGCGAGAGACCGAUAGCGCACAAGUAGAGUGAUCGAAAGAUGAAAAGCACUUUGGAAAGAGAGUUAAAAAGCACGUGAAAUUGUUGAAAGGGAAGCGCUUGCAAUCAGACUUGUUUAAACUGUUCGGCCGGUCUUCUGACCGGUUUACUCAGUUUGGACAGGCCAGCAUCAGUUUCGGCGGCCGGAUAAAGGCUCUGGGAAUGUGGCCUCCACUUCGGUGGAGGUGUUAUAGCCCAGGGUGUA